CUUAGUUUUCUGUGCUUUGUGCAGGAGCAGCAACCGGGCCAGGGAGCUGUGAAAGCGCCCCAUUCGCGCGAGAAACCCGGCGCUUUUGAAAGUAACUCUGUCGAAAAGCCGGAGAUUUGGUUGCGAGUGAGGGUGUCUCCAAAGGAGGAGAGAAGAGGAAUCAGAAGGCCAAAGCGAGGCAAUAAAUGAAAAUGAGGACUGAAGUUGGUGCACACUCUUACUUGUGUAAGUAAGUCUCGUUGUUCUGAGU